GGGUGAGCAAGGUGUCCGACCACAGGUAAUGGGAUCCAGAAAGUCAGCUCAUGCACCAGGGAUAGAUCCUGAUCACACUGCCAGGGGCCCCUCAGACAGACCCAGUUACACAACUGUCCCCUGUCUGCAGAGGGUCUAGUCCGGCCCCAUGCAGAUUUCACGGCUGUCGGUCUAAAGUUCGUGAGUUCCUAGGAGCUGCUUCAUUUGUCUCUGCAGAUCUCCCCAUCAUGAGCUUCACUCCAGUGAGUAGGGCAGUGAGAGUGAGAAAGAAAGAACAGGCCGCUGAGAGAAGAGAAGAGUUUGGAAUUUAUUGUUUUAAAGGUCAUGUCUGGAGUUUUAGUCGGCCAGAGGAUCCACAACAAAAUACAAGAGGAUGAAAUGGUUUAAACAAGAAAAUUGCUUCCUUGUAGUUUUACAGGCUGGAUAUCCAAGAUUAAGCCUGGUUUCUCCUAGGCUUUUCCCCAGGCUUGUACGUGGUUGAAUUCCUGUCUUCAGUUGGAUUUCCUCUCUGUGUAUACUUGGUGUCACUUCUUCAUAUCAGGACAUCAGCCAUACUGGAUUUGGGAUCCAUCUUGGUGAUUUUAUUAACCACAGGUGCAGAUCCCAACUAUCAUAUGAAAAGCAAGUGUCUUCAGAGGUUCAAAUGUCAACACAGCAAGGAAGCACAUAAAACUGAGAUCAGUUCUUUCCUGGGGAUUAUCUCUCAUUGAUGACUAAUGGACACUUUUUGGUCACUUAGAAAUUAAGAGCUUCUCUCCAAUGACUGAUGGAAGCAGAUGCAGAGAUCCACAGCCAAACACCAAGCAGAACUCCAGGAGUCCAGUCAAAGAGAGAGAAGAGGGAUUCUAUGAGCAAGUGCACCAAGAUCAUGAUGGGGAAAACUGCAGAGAUGACCAAACCAAACUAGUGAGAACUUAUGAAAGUUGCAUCAAUUGGCUGUGGAGUCUGCAUGGGACUGGACUAGAUCCUCUGCAUAGCGAGACAGUUGUGUAGCUUGAUCUGCUUGGGGGGCCCCCUGGCGGUAGGAUAAGAAUCCAUCCCUGGUGCAUGAGCCGGCAUGAGCCCACUACCUAUGAUGGGACACCUUGUGCACCCUUGAGGCAAGGGGAAGGGCUUGGACUUGCCUCUGCUGGAUGUGCCACCCCAUG